rnacentral:rRNA from 1 species
UCUAGGGAGACUGCCGGUGUUAAACCGGAGGAAGUGGGGACGACGUCAAGUCAUCAUGGCCCUUAUGUCCAGGGCUACACACGUGCUACAAUGGCCGGUACAAAGGGUUGCGAAGCUGUGAGGUGGAGCGAAUCUCAAAAAGCCGGCCUCAGUUCGGAUUGGAGGCUGCAACUCGCCUCCAUGAAGUCGGAAUCGCUAGUAACCGCAGAUCAGCUACGUUGCGGUGAAUACGUUCCCGGGCCUU